UAAAAUUAUUUUAUAUAAUAUAUUAGAAAUGAAAUGUUAUUCGUUUUUAAAGGUAUCUAGUUCUUUAAGAAAUAAAUUUAAUUUAGAAAUUUUAUAUUAUUUAAUUUAAUAUAUUAAUUAAAUAAUUAUUUAAUUUUAAUAUUUUAUGGGAUAAGCUAUAAAAUAAAAUUUUUAAAAAUUAUUAAUAGUAUUAAUAAAUAUAAGCUUAUAAAUAGUUAUUAUUAAUGAAAAUGUUAUAAUUUAUUAUGUAUAUAUAUAUAUAUUAUUUAUUUAUAUUUUAAAUUUUUAUUAAAGUAUUUAUUUUAUUUAAAAAAAUUAAUAUAUAAUGAUAAAAUUAGUAUAUUUUUUGUGUUUAUAUAAAUUUAAAUGAUAAGUUUUUAUAAAGAAUUUGGCAAAAAUUAAUAUUCGCCUGUUUAACAAAAACAUGUCUUUAUGUAUUUUUUUAUAAAGUCUGACCUGCCCACUGAAGUUUAAUUUAAAUGGCUGCAGUAUUUUGACUGUACAAAGGUAGCAUAAUAAUUAGUCUUUUAAUUGAAGGCUGGUAUGAAUGGUUGGACGAGAUAUUAACUGUUUCAUAAAAAUUUUUAUUAGAAUUUUAUUUUUUAGUUAAAAAGCUAAAAUUUAUUUAAAAGACGAGAAGACCCUAUAAAUCUUUAUAUUUAAAUUAUAAUAAUUUUUUGUAAUUAUUUUAUUAUUAUAAUUAAUAAUAUUUUAUUGGGGUGAUAUUAAAAUUUAAUUAACUUUUUUUUAUUAUUAUAACAUUAAUUUAUGUAUAAUUGAUCCAAUAUUAUUGAUUAAUAAAAUAAGUUACUUUAGGGAUAACAGCGUAAUUUUAUUGGAGAGUUCUUAUUAAUAAUAAAGAUUGCGACCUCGAUGUUGGAUUAAGAUAUAAUUUUAGGUGUAGUAGCUUAAAUUUUAAGUCUGU
rnacentral:rRNA from 1 species